rnacentral:rRNA from 1 species
CACGUAGGGCGCAAGCGUUGUCCGGAAUUAUUGGGCGUAAAGAGCUCGUAGGCGGUCUGUUGCGUCCGCUGUGAAAACUCGGGGCUUAACCCCCGAGCCUGCAGUGGAUACGGGCAGACUAGAGUGCGGUAGGGGAGACUGGAAUUCCUGGUGUAGCGGUGAAAUGCGCAGAUAUCAGGAGGAACACCGGUGGCGAAGGCGGAUCUCUGGGCCUUACCUGACGCUGAGGCGCGAAAGCUAGGGGAGCAAACAGG